rnacentral:rRNA from 1 species
CCCUUAGAUGUUCUGGGCCGCACGCGCGCUACACUGAUGCAUUCAACGAGUUUCUUCCUGGUCCGAGAGGAAUGGGUAACCUUUUGAAAGUGCAUCGUGAUAGGGAUAGACUAUUGCAAUUAUUGGUCUUCAACGAGGAAUUCCUAUUAGACGUAGUUCAUCAGACUGCAUCGAUUACGUCCCUGCCCUUUGUACACACCGCCCGUCGCUCCUACCGAUUGAAUGCUCAGGUGAGCCAUUCGGACUUUCAUCAUGCUGGUUUCCAGUUUUGAUGAAGGAAAGUCUUGCGAACCUUAUCAUUUAGAGGAAGGAGAAGUCGUAACA